AUUGAAUGGCUCAGUGAGGCCUUGGGACUGGCUCAGGAAGGUCGGCAACGACCAUCCAGAGCCGGAAACUUGGUCAAACUUGGUCAUUUAGAGGAAGUAAAAGUCGUAACAAGGUU
rnacentral:rRNA from 1 species